AAUUGAGCAGCAGAUGUUCAGAUCAGAGUCCAGGUUCACUCUGAUAUUUAACCAGCAACAACUUCAUGAUAAUGAUAUAUUAAUAAUGAUACAAGCUCAAAUCUACUGGAUCCUGUAAAAUGUGCUCUUAUUGUGAAAAUCUGCCUCCCCCCUCCUUCCUGUCCUCCUCCAUCACAGGUGCAGCCCUGACUGGUUCCAGGAAGUAUCUCACCUGAGUCUCUAGUGUCCAGGUAGAAAGUUGAUGUGGAUUCAGCAGCAUGGACCAGAGGGAGGACAAAGAGGAGGGAGUCAGACAUCUGCAGGACGGGUUGACUGGUUUCAGUCAUUCAUCUGAUCCCAGCUGUGUUUCCCUCAAGAGUGAUCAGUCAAAUGAACGCGACAUUGAUUUUAAAGGAGAUCAACCCUCUGCUCCUGAGAGGAUCAGUCCAGACCCCAGCUGUGUGUCCCUCAACAGUGAUUGGUCCAAUGAUCGUGACAUUGAUUUUAAAGGACAUCAACCCUCUGCUCCUGAGAGAGUCCACCAGCAGAGCUCAGAGGUUCUCAGUGGUCAGUCUACCCAGCAGCAUCAGAUACAGCUG